AUUGAACGCUGGCGGCAGGCCUAACACAUGCAAGUCGAGCGGUAGAGAGGUGCUUGCAUCUCUUGAGAGCGGCGGACGGGUGAGUAAUGCCUAGGAAUCUGCCUAGUGGUGGGGGAUAACGUUCGGAAACGGACGCUAAUACCGCAUACGUCCUACGGGAGAAAGCGGGGGGAUCUUCGGACCUCGCGCCAUUAGAUGAGCCUAGGUCGGAUUAGCUAGUUGGUGAGGUAAUGGCUCACCAAGGCGACGAUCCGUAACUGGUCUGAGAGGAUGAUCAGUCACACUGGAACUGAGACACGGUCCAGACUCCUACGGGAGGCAGCAGUGGGGAAUAUUGGACAAUGGGCGAAAGCCUGAUCCAGCCAUGCCGCGUGUGUGAAGAAGGUCUUCGGAUUGUAAACUGCUUUUGUACGGAACGAAACGGUGAGCUCUAAUACAGUUUGCUAAUGACGGUACCGUAAGAAUAAGCACCGGCUAACUACGUGCCAG
rnacentral:rRNA from 1 species